UACGGAGGGUGCGAGCGUUGUCCGGAAUCACUGGGCGUAAAGGGCGCGUAGGCGGCCCGAUAAGUAGGGGGUGAAAUCCUGCGGCUUAACCGCAGGGCUGCCUUCUAAACUGUCAGGCUCGAGCACAGUAGAGGCAGGUGGAAUUCCCGGUGUAGCGGUGGAAUGCGUAGAGAUCGGGAAGAACAUCAGUGGCGAAGGCGGCCUGCUGGGCUGUUGCUGACGCUGAGGCGCGACAGCGUGGGGAGCAAACAGG
rnacentral:rRNA from 1 species